CAAUAGCGUAUAUUUAAGUUGCUGCAGUUAAAAAGCUCGUAGUUGGAUUUCGGGUGGGAAUGGCCGGUCCGCCGUUUCGGUGUGCACUUGCUACGCCCACCUUGCUGCCGGGGACGUGCUCUUGAGUUCACGCUCGGGACACGGAGUCGGCGAGGUUACUUCGAGUAAAUUAGAGUGUUCAAAGCAGGCCUACGCUCUGAAUACAUUAGCAUGGAAUAACACGAUAGGACUCUGGCCUAUCUUGUUGGUCUGUAGGACCGGAGUAAUGAUUAAGAGGGACAGUCGGGGGCAUUCGUAUUUCAUUGUCAGAGGUGAAAUUCUUGGAUUUAUGAAAGACGAACUACUGCGAAAGCAUUUGCCAAGGAUGUUUUCAUUAA
rnacentral:rRNA from 1 species